rnacentral:rRNA from 1 species
UUAAAAGUGCUCUUUAAAUUAAAAAGUUUGGCGGUACUUAAGUCUUAUUAGAGGAAUUUGUGGCUUAAUCGAUAAUCCCCGAGCAUCUUUCCUUAAUUUGUAUAACAGUUUAUAUACCGUCGUCUUCAGACUUCAUUAUUUAGAUGUUUUCUAGAAAAAUUUUUUAAGUCAGAUCAAGGUGUAGCUUAUGUUAAGGUUGUCAUGAAUUACAGUGUUUGUAAUUGCGGAUAUUAUUAUGUAAAGAUAACAGAAGAUGGAUUUAAUUGUAAAUUUUAUUUAUUAUAUAAUUUUGAAUAAGUCUUUAUGUAUGU